rnacentral:lncRNA from 1 species
AUGAUUAUGUCACCCUGACGGAGGUCGGGUGACAUAUUGUUAUUGUACGAUUCUUUUUUUCUUAUUAUUCUUAUUCCGCACUUUUUGUCCAGCUUAGUUCUUAGAACUGAAUGGACCAAUGUUGAUGGAACUAUAACAUAAUGUUAAUCACCAUGUGUAGUUUUGCAUCUGACUUUGGAAUUAAAAAAUGGCUGCCAUUGCCAUGGAAACAGCAAAAAUGUGAAAAAUAGAAAUGUGUUCCAAUUUAUAUGAAACUUCUAUGAUAUUAAGAGACUCAUGCACACUUCAACAUGGUACAUUUUUUUUUCAACUGGGGGGUCUCUAGACAUAAUUUGAGGGGGUAAAUUUUUCAUGGAACAUUCCAGAACAUAAGUGUUAAAUUUAUUCUUGAGACAAUAAAUGAUAUAUGAUGGUAUAUAAUUAUGGAGAGAACAAUUUGCAGC